rnacentral:rRNA from 1 species
UUUGGUGGCGAUAGCGAAGAGGUCACACCCGUUCCCAUACCGAACACGGAAGUUAAGCUCUUCAGCGCCGAUGGUAGUUGGGGGUUUCCCCCUGU